AAACCUCCCUCAGUGGAAUCUAAACGGUCCAUUGCUUCUUGUCCUAUUCUCAGAGGUUAAGGAGAACAAUUUUUCUCCGUCUUUCUUGUAACCUUUUAUGUAGUUGAAAACUGUUAUGUCCCCUCUCAGUCUUCUCUUCUCCAUACUAAACAAAUCCAAGUUUUUCAAUCUUCCCCCAUAGGUCAUGUUUUCUAGACCUUUAAUAAUUUUUGUUGGUCUUCUCUAGA